rnacentral:tRNA from 1 species
GCGGUCAUGGUGGAAUUGGUAGACACGCCAUCUUGAGGGGGUGGUGGCUUCGGCCGUGAGAGUUCGAGUCUCUCUGACCGCA